UACGAAGGGGGCUAGCGUUGCUCGGAAUCACUGGGCGUAAAGGGUGCGUAGGCGGGUCUUUAAGUCUGGGGUGAAAUCCUGGAGCUCAACUCCAGAACUGCCUUUGAUACUGAGGAUCUUGAGUUCGGGAGAGGUGAGUGGAACUGCGAGUGUAGAGGUGAAAUUCGUAGAUAUUCGCAAGAACACCAGUGGCGAAGGCGGCUCACUGGCCCGAUACUGACGCUGAGGCACGAAAGCGUGGGGAGCGAACAGG
rnacentral:rRNA from 1 species